UGAAGGCCGUUAAAACGUUCCUGUCGGCCAUCUUAAAACUGUUAGCGCUCUGAGUCACAGUGUUCAGCUAAUUGUUUAAAUAAUAUAAAAAAUCUAUAUACUAUAUAUGUCAUUUAUAUUUAUUUAUAUAAUUCAGUUUUAUCGUAUGAUUUUACACAAGAAUAUUUUUUAUUCACCACUUUGUGCCUUUAGUGUUGUUCCUGAGCUCGGUGAAUUGGACAUAUUUCUCCGUUAUGGAUCCUCUGAGCUGGCUGAACGUCAUGCAGCUUCAGGAUCCGCUUCCCAAACCUCUGGAUCUCACCAAGCAGAUCUCCGAGGCUCUGGAUCUGGUGAAGAAGAAGCCGAGCCGGAGCGACCGCGCCUCAGGGACCGACAGUAUCCGUUCUCCUCGCUCGGAGUCCACGCUGCCAAACGGACUCGUCCACGAACCUGCGGAGACGCCGAUAACCGCUUCGGGGAACAAGUGGCGCAGGACGGGAGAGGAAAGAAGAGAAAGGAACGGCGCAGGACUUCAGGACACUCCUUCAUCACAACAGCGUUCCCGGUUCCCGUUACCUCCCGUCGAAACCUUGGCGUCGGAGUGUUCCGGAUCCGGACACGCGGACUGCGUUUCCAGCGACGACAGCGGCGCGAUCGAGGUGCCUUUCAGCGUUCCGAUUAGCAACGGCACCUCGCUGAUACGGAGAGAUACAGAAAACGAGAAACGGAAAAAAGAAAGCAUGGGAAAUUCCUCUCCGAGCCUGACGGAAUGGGAUGCGCUCCAGGAUAGCGACUCGGUGGAAUCCAGAAACGUACCGUCCACCUCAGAAGCAGAAAACGCCGACUUCUGUAAAGCAGCACAGAACGGAUCCGGAUCAUCAUCAUCAUCAUCAUCAUCGUCGUCAUCAUCAUCAUCGUCGUCGUCGAGCCAGAAGAUGGCGCCAGCGACUAAGAAAACCAGAAACCAGCAGCGCUCGAGGUCUUCAGCAGGCAAGAAAGCAACAGCGAGCGCGGCGAAGAGGAGGAAGAAGAAGAAGCAGCAGCGCUCCGGGUUAUCGUCGCCGCCGUCCGCGUUUCCUUCCCACGAACCCGAGAUCAAGCUGAAGUACGCGAGCUGCAAGGAGGAGAAGCGAGAAGGCAGAGGGAACACCUUCGCCCCGUACGUCCGUAUGGAGUUCUCCGCCUGCACCGUCGUCAACUCCGAGGAAGACGGCGAGUUGAAGGCGAGGAAGCAGCGACAGGCCGCGGCGUCGCCCGGGAUCGUUCCCACCACGUCGUGUUUACAGCUGGGACGCCUCGGGUCAGAGGGCAGGCGUCAGAGCGGCGAGCUGUGCUGCCUGUGCGGACGGACCGCCAACGCCGCGGGUUUGGGGGACCUGCACGGACCGUACCGUCCCUGCGGACCUGACGGGAAGACGUCCGCGGAUCUGCUGACGAACGGACACGAGGACGCCGGCGCAAAGAGGAAGUGGACGUCGGACGAGGUCGGAGAACGCUGGGUUCACGAGGACUGCGGUAUCUGGUCAGCGGGCGUUUUCCUCGUUAAAGGAAGGCUGUACGGACUGGACGAGGCGGUCAGGCUCGCGCAACAAGCCGUUUGCUCGUGUUGCCACAGAUGUGGUGCCACGCUGGGAUGCUUCUUCAAGGGCUGCCCCAGUAAAUACCACUUCCCCUGCGCUCUCCAGGCUGAAUGUGUGUUUAAUGAGGAAAACUUUACUCUGAGAUGUCCAAAGCACAAGAAUAAAUCGGGACUCGGCGCGAGCAGACUGCAGAACAGGUGACGCUGUAAAAGCUGGGGAUUUUUAUUCAUUCUUUAUUCAUUUAAUUUUAUUUAAUUUUAUUCAAAGUUUUUUUUUUCUUUCAGAUUAAAAUUAGAUUUAAAACAAUGUUUAUAGAUGUUUAAGUUGUAAUGAUGUUAUUUUAUUUUACUUUAUUGCAAUUAAUUUUUUUUUUUUUUUAAUUUUUAAAAAAAUUUAAACAUAAAUACAUAAUAAUCGUAUAACGAUGGAUCGUUUGCAGAUUUAUAGAAAUCAACAAUAAUUUACAAAAUCGCUUUUUUCCUUUUUUUCCCAUUUAUUUUAUUUACUUAUGUAUUUAUGUAUUUACUGGUUCUUUCUUUCUUUUCUCUCUCUCUCUCUCUCCAUCUUUUUCUCGCUUUUUUCUUUCUCUUUUGCAUUAUUGUUGUCUUUUUUUUGUUUUCUUACUUAUUUUUAACCAAUUUUCAGUUUUUCAUUUUUUCCCAUUUCAUUAUUUAUGUGUUUGUUUGCUGGUUUCCUUUCUUUCUUUCUUUCUUUCAGUAUAAAACAUUUUUCUGUUUUUUCCUCUUAUCUCAUUUAUUUAUUUAUUUACUCAUUUAUUGGUUUUCUUUCUUGUUCUUUUUGUUCUUGUUCUCUCUCUCUCUGUUCUUUCUCUUGUUCUUUUUUCUCUAUCUUUCUCUCAUUCUAUCACAUAUUUACUCUUUCUGUUUUUAACAUAUUUUCAUUUUUUGUUAGUUUUAGUUUUUUAAUAUACAGAAAACCCCUGCGUAAUGUGCUCAUUCUACUACGUUACCGUUUCUAUAGUAACAGCUCGUUCUACUACGUUACCGUUUCUAUAGUAACAGCUCGUUCUAAUACGUUACCGUUUCUAUAGUAACAGCUCGUUCUACUACGUUACCGUUUCUAUAGUAACAGCUCGGUCUAAUACGUUACCGUUUCUGUAGUAACAGCUCGUUCUACUACGUUACCGUUUCUAUAGUAACAGCUCGGUCUAAUACGUUACCGUUUCUAUAGUAACAGCUCGUUCUACUACGUUACCGUUUCUAUAGUAACAGCUCGGUCUAAUACGUUACCGUUUCUGUAGUAACAGCUCGUUCUACUACGUUACCGUUUCUAUAGUAACAGCUCGGUCUAAUACGUUACCGUUUCUGUAGUAACAGCUCGUUCUACUACGUUACCGUUUCUAUAGUAACAGCUCGGUCUAAUACGUUACCGUUUCUGUAGUAACAGCUCGGUCUCAUGGACUUCACAUAAACAGGGUAAAAAAUCUGUGUACUUGUUGAUACUGUGAAGUUUCUGUAAGGAGAUUUUAUUUAACAUUUUUGGAAGGAGUCUCCAGCGUCAGAGAUAAAGCUGUAACUUUAAGUUUUCUGACAUCUUUGCUUGCUUUGUUUCUCAGUAACACGACAAGCUGUGACUUCUUUUUUUUUUUUUUUUUGUAUUAUUAAACGUCAAGAGAGAGAAAAAGAGGCUGAUGAGGGAGCGACUGUUUAUAGCUGCUGUAACGUGAACUCCAGCGUGAUUUUCAUGGUUCGGAGUGAGAGUUUACAUCAGGGUUUUUUUUUUUCUUCUCUUCUACAUAAACUACUGAAGUGUUUACAUUUUCCUCACCUGCAGAGGAACGUCUCUGAAACCGAACUGCCUUCUCCUUCACUGCCGCUGCCUUUUUUAAAUAAAUAAAUAAAUACCCGGUUGUUUUGAGAGCGCUGAAGGAUCAUCACACUGUUCCACCGAGCGGAUUUUAUUCAGCCACGCCUCAUUCCUUUAUCGUAUUUCAGAGCCUGAUGUUCCUUCAACUUGUUUUUUAUAAUGUGUUUUUUUUUAAUUUUUUUUAUUGUUUUGUUUUUUCCAUCAAAAGGGUGUUCACGUUUUUUCUUUCUUUUUUUUUUUUUUUUUUGACUUUAUACUUGACAAAAACAGGUGCUGGAUUUCUUUUUAAAAUGUGAUCUAUACAGAUUUUUAUGAUUUAAAUGUUAGUGGUAAUCGUUUGGACUGUUAAGAUUUUUACUCUCGAGAUUUUCCGGUCCUUUGCUCUGUGUGUGACGCCAGUCGGUGAUGCCGGACGUGUCGAGUCUUUUCGCAUGGUACCGUAUGCACUAUAUGUGAACAUAUUUAUGGUUUAUUUAUGUCUGAUUCAUGCGUAUGUGUAUUUAUUCACAGAUGAACAACCUCAGCUGAAAAGACUUUCUGGCACUUUAGAAAUGCAGGGAUUUUUAUUAUUAUUAUUAUUAUUAUUAUUAUUAUUAUUAUUAUUCAGGUGAUCAGACAUGACGUCUGUGUGUCUGUUGCACAUUUUGUCCAGGAGACAAACUUUAAGGCCUGAGAUUGGCAGAAAAUGUGUGUAGGAUUUCACCCUAUGCCUUUUUUUUAUGUCUAAGUUCUAAUAAAUAUUUUUAAACUCUG